rnacentral:rRNA from 1 species
AUUGAACGCUGGCGGCAGGCCUAACACAUGCAAGUCGAGCGGCAGCGGGAAAGUAGCUUGCUACUUUUGCCGGCGAGCGGCGGACGGGUGAGUAAUGCCUGGGAAAUUGCCCAGUCGAGGGGGAUAACAGUUGGAAACGACUGCUAAUACCGCAUAUGCCCUACGGGGGAAAGCAGGGGACCUUCGGGCCUUGCGCGAGUGGAUAUGCCCAGGUGGGAUUAGCUAAUUGGUGAGGUAAUGGCUCACCAAGGCGACGAUCCCUAGCUGGUCUGAGAGGAUGAUCAGCCACGCUGGAACUGAGACACGGUCCAGACUCCUACGGGAGGCAGCAGUGGGGAAUAUUGCACAAUGGGGGAAACCCUGAUGCAGCCAUGCCGCGUGUGUGAAGAAGGCCUUCGGGUUGUAAAGCACUUUCAGCGAGGAGGAAAGGUUGAUGCCUAAUACGUAUCAACUGUGACGUUACUCGCAGAAGAAGCACCGGCUAACUCCGUGCCAGCCGCCGCAGUAAAAC